rnacentral:rRNA from 1 species
UACAGAGGGGGCAAGCGUUGUUCGGAAUUACUGGGCGUAAAGGGCGCGUAGGCGGCCUUCUAAGUCGAACGUGAAAUCCCCGGGCUCAACCCGGGAACUGCGUCCGAUACUGGAAGGCUUGAAUCCGGGAGAGGGAUGCGGAAUUCCAGGUGUAGCGGUGAAAUGCGUAGAUAUCUGGAGGAACACCGGUGGCGAAGGCGUCAUCCUGGACCGGCAUUGACGCUGAGGCGCGAAAGCCAGGGGAGCAAACGGG